rnacentral:rRNA from 1 species
UAGCAUCAUCAUCACUUUGUGUUGUGAUCCUGUUAGCUCUCACAAAUUAAGCAGCGUGAGGCCAGGAGACUACUUGGAUGGGAGACUGCUAAGGAAUAUGCACAUGCUGCAAG